AGUUGUGGGGANAUUCCACGGUUUCCGUGACGCAGCUAACGCAUUAAGUUCCCCGCCUGGGGAGUACGGCCGCAAGGCUAAAACUCAAAGGAAUUGACGGGGACCCGCACAAGCGGCGGAGCAUGCGGAUUAAUUCGAUGCAACGCGAAGAACCUUACCAAGGCUUGACAUAUACGAGAACGGGCCAGAAAUGGUCAACUCUUUGGACACUCGUAAACAGGUGGUGCAUGGUUGUCGUCAGCUCGUGUCGUGAGAUGUUGGGUUAAGUCCCGCAACGAGCGCAACCCUCGUUCUAUGUUGCCAGCACGUAAUGGUGGGAACUCAUGGGAUACUGCCGGGGUCAACUCGGAGGAAGGUGGGGAUGACGUCAAAUCAUCAUGCCCCUUAUGUCUUGGGCUUCACGCAUGCUACAAUGGCCGGUACAAAGGGCUGCAAUACCGUGAGGUGGAGCGAAUCCCAAAAAGCCGGUCCCAGUUCGGAUUGAGGUCUGCAACUCGACCUCAUGAAGUCGGAGUCGCUAGUAAUCGCAGAUCAGCAACGCUGCGGUGAAUACGUUCCCGGGUCUUGUACACACCGCCCGUCAAGUCAUGAAAGUCGGUAACACCUGAAGCCGGUGGCCUAACCCUUGUGGAGGGAGCCGUCGAAGGUGGGAUCGGUAAUUAGGACUAAGUCGUAACAAGGUA
rnacentral:rRNA from 1 species